rnacentral:lncRNA from 1 species
UACUUAAUCUUUUCAAAUCCCAACCAAGUUUGGAAUGAGGAAAUACUUACCAAAGUUCCUCAAACAGAUUGUAUUCCACUUUAUCAACGACCUAGAAUCACCAUACAUAAACAUAAUCAAAUUUAAUUGACAGAAAUGAAUUAAACCUAAAGGAAAACUGCUAACAAUGACUAUUUUAGGUAAUUACCAACAACAAGCUUGUUUUUCCGUAUUCGGCGAACUACCACUUCUGCUCCCUGCGUAGGU